rnacentral:miRNA from 1 species
UCUCAGUGACUAAUUUCUAGA